rnacentral:rRNA from 1 species
UAAGGAAUAUUGGUCAAUGCCCGGAAGGGUGAACCAGCCAUCCCGCGUGAAGGAUGAAGGGGCUCUGCCUUGUAAACUUCUUUUGAAUGGGACGAAAAAGCCUCACUUGUGAGGAACUGACGGUACCAUUAGAAUAAGCACCGGCUAACUCCGUGCCAGCAGCCGCGGUAAUACGGAGGGUGCGAGCGUUAUCCGGAAUCACUGGGUUUAAAGGUGCGUAGGCGGCUGUAUAAGUCAGUGGUGAAAGGCUGUGGCUUAACCAUGGGAUUGCCAUUGAUACUGUACGGCUUGAAUUAGGAUGAGGUUGGCGGAAUGUGACAUGUAGCGGUGAAAUGCUUAGAUAUGUCAUGGAACAUCGAUUGCGAAGGCAGCUGACUGGACCUUAAUUGACGCUGAGGCACGAAAGCGUGGGGAGCGAACAGGAUUAGAUACCCAAGUAGUCCCUGAGCGGGCUGGCAAGGCGCAU